ACCUGGAUGGCUCAGUAGGUUGAGCAUCCGACUUCGGCUCAAGUAAUGAUUUCGUGGUUCGUGGGUUCGAGCCCUGCUUCGGGCU
rnacentral:tRNA from 1 species